rnacentral:lncRNA from 1 species
GCUCUGCGGGAGAGGGCUGCGUCUGGGAGUCGGCCUGACGCAUGAUAUCACCGGGAGCUGGAGGCUAAGGAGCUAGUGAGAGAGCGAUCAACCGAUCAGCGGGGAGCCUACCGAGUCCGGAGAGCCUUGGCGGCAAAGGAGGUGGUGGCGGCGUGACCCGGCGAACAACGCGAGGUCGGGCGGAAAGAGCCGAGCGAGCUCGGGAGGAUCGGCGCUGAGGCCGAAGGUGCGGCUAGAGAGAGAGUGGAGACUCUGCUGCCAACCAGCUCAGGAGUGUGGACUUCUGGGCCUUGAGCGACGAGUCCGUUGGAGAUAAAGACUAGGGGCGGGUGGGAGGCGGCUCUGAGGGUGGUGUUGGAAGAGGGGGCGGGACGGGCUGACUUUAAAUGACAGACGUGAUGGGAGGUGUGCAAGGGUGAGCUUUAUGGCUUGAAGAUCAUGGCAAGAGUAGUGAUCUCAUGCCCAGCCAGAAGGGGGCGGUAGGCAGUAGUAAUGCCUACAAGGUAUAACAGAGAUACCAAAGCACAAAAGGAUCUUGGAAAGGCAGGGAUUCAUUACUCUCUAGUUAGUGGUCCAGCAUGCCCCCAGGAUCCAACAAGUCAAACUCAGCCACCCCCACCACAGCAGUCAAAUACUCUUCUUACUCCUACUAAGUCUGAAACCCAACAUAGUCAAUCUUGGGAGGAGGCAGUCAGCACCUUUUUCAUUAUUCUCGGGGAAGAAAACAAAAGUUUGCUUGUUGUAACUCAGGAAGACUCUUCACUAAGAUAACUUGGCAGAAAAUUAAAUUGUUUGAAAAUAACAAUUUUCUUUUGAACAGUCAUUCGGCUGCUCAUGGUAAUCUAUUUUCAAUGAUUUUUUUUUCUUUUCUUUAUGUUGUCCUCAAAUUAAAUGUUCUGUGCUGUUGCAACAGAAUCAUUUGAAGAGACAAUAUCAAAUGACAGAUCACUGGGCCUCAGAUUCUAUCUGCCCAUGAUUAUGCCCAGGACUUGCUGGUAGAUCAGGAGGAAGUGAAGCUGGGCGUUUUGGAGAUCGCUUUUAGCUCAGAAAAUUAAGGUAAUGCUCUAGAACACUACAAGUGAGGAGCUGGGGGUGAAAGUUCCCAUUGUCAGUCCUAGAGGCCCAUGACCUUAGACAGAGCCCUCUGAGUCCUUGGGAUAGUAAUAUAAAGGAUAACCAGAAGUUUUAAUGCAAAGAAUGAAAGAUAAAGAGAAUUUUCUAAAAGCAAUGAAACUUUUUGUUGUAUUUUUGUUUUGGUAUUAGUUUUUUUAAGCUUCAAGAUAUCACAUAUCAUGACAGACCUAUACUUGGUCGCUAAGUAACACUGACUUUAAUUAGCGUUACAUAGAGGCUAGUGCCUGAUACUGAAUCUAAAUAUAUCAUAAUCCUCCUCCACAGAAAGUAGUUUGUUCAAGUACUGGGCAGGGCAUGAAUUCAUUUUUUUUUUUCCUGACUGUACUGUAAGAAUACUUUCAUGGUGUUUUCUCCAUAAGCACACCAUCCCAUUCUGCUGAUUUUAUUUCUAGUACCUUUUUUGAACCUUCACUUCGUAUAAAUUCCAAGUACAAGGUCUGAGUCUUUCUUUCCCAUCAUCCAAGUCAAGCUUUCUUAUAUUUGUACUCCCCAACACUCUCCAGAAAUAGAGUUCUGACCCUCUCCCCUAUUAUCCAUUUUAUGGCAGAAGAAAUGGUGAAAUCAGUUGGUGUGUUUAAGGAGAAAAGUAUAGGUAAGUGUCUUAUGGAGGAGGCUCAGAGACUCAAUUUUAUUUCCACUGGUAGGAUUAGGAUGAAUAAGCAUUUCACAAAGAAUAGAACUAUGUCCACAGAUACAAUGUUUGUAUAUGAGUAACUAACUCAUGGCAUUUUGUGUUCAUCAAGCUCACAGCAGCGAUUUCCCAAGUUGGCACCCCACCUUGAAUAGAACCCUAAAUAUUUUGAUUCAGGUGACUUGGAACAUUCUUUCAGAAAAGCCCAUGGAUGUUCCUUUCACUCACCUGGAAGCAGGAUGUUUUACAUUUAGGCGAUGGUACUCUGCAGUGUAUCUCAGUGUUGCUCCUAAAAUGGAAGCUUUCCAGGUGGAUACUGUGAAAGGCGUGACAAACAGGAGUAUAGUGGUCUAGGUAUGAGAUGUUUGCCAGGAGCAGAAGCAUUUUCAGAAGCUAUUAUGGACUCUCGGGCUUACUCUGCAGCCAUUGCUAGUGCCCUUGCAGAGCAGCAGCUAACCAUACUAAAAAGGACUAUUAUAGAUCUUCCUGUGAUCAUCUAGGAGAACAAACAAUGGGAAUAUACACAUAAAACAAGAAGAAAUAUGGAGCACAUCUGUCUUUUUCUUAAGGACAGGUAAACUCCAAGUGUCUAAUAAAAUCUCAUAGAUAGAAGAUGGAAUGCUUUAAAUUUUAGAUAAUUGACUUUCUGCCCGCAGAUAUUUUCAGGUUGAACACCACACCACUUGGCUUGGAAGAAAAACAAAAAAUUGUGCGAGGACUCUUCCCAGGUAGGGUUCAGAGAAAAUAAGAUGUCUUCCGACUUCCAUUCUGUGGGGUGUGGUAUAGUACAGAUAGUAAAGUGGUAGCCUUUUACAUGUUUAAUGUCAUUCCGCAGGUCAUAACACAAUGUUGGCAUGUUCACUGUAGAGACAGAAAUUAAGUAUUACAAAUGUCCAAACUUUUGAAAUAUGGGAAUGGGAAAUUUCAGUUCUUCCUUUUAAAGCAAAAACAAAAUUAUCUUUUCAUAAAAAUGCUCUACAUGGCACAACUGACAAAUAAUAGAAAUUUAUUCAUGCUAGAGGAACAUUAAAAGGAUACUGAACCUUGUCAUUAGAAGAAUGUUAAGGUGGUGAAUCCCUUCUGCCCUUACUGUGUCAUGUAUGUCCUGUGAAGAAAACAACAGAAGCCUCCGACCCAGAAACCUUCAUGAGUGCAGGUGAUAAAAUCUCUAAGAAAACCUGUUUUGCUUUUUUUUUUUUUCUAGGCAAUGGGUCUGGGAAACUCUAAGACUAACAAUAGAAGACCUUUUAUGGCAAUAUAUAUCCUACUCCAACCAGACACCAAGACGCUCUAUCUUAUCUCAUUCUCCACACACUAUGACAGUGGCGCCAAUGGGAAGCUGAUAACCCAUUGUCUCAGAGGCAGGAAAUCAAGUUAUAGUCUCUUUAGCAGGGCGAAUGUCAGUAUGGCCCAAUGUUGAGCUAAGCCUAGACCUAUACUUAAUCAAGCGAUAGAUUUAAUAAUCUCUUUUGAGAAAGUGUUUAAACACCCAAAUAUUUUGCUGUCCUCUUUAAUUGUGGUAGGAAGACUCAGUGAAAAGCUGAACUUCCAUUCGGCCUUGUAUCAAUGGUACUUAACAAAUCACUGACAGAGUGAGCUAUCAGCAUAUUCUUCUCACCCAUCCCUGGUGUCAGCAAUGAGCUGGAUUUUCAUAUCCAGUCAACUUGAAAAAGACUGAAUAAAGAAGUGGGUAGCAGGGCUACUCUUUACCUUCAAGAAAUAGUGAUGUUCCCACAAGUACAAAUUCAGGUAAACUGAAUGAGUGAAAGUAAUAUGGUUCUUUAACAUUAAAUACGUUCUUAAAGCCUUAAUAUAAUAUUUAUAAGAAGGUAAUGCUUUCAAGUACACAUGGAACAUUCAUAAAAAUAAAUCAUAUUGAUUAUGGAAAAAACUUAAUCUCUCUAAAUAUUAAGUACAUAUUGUGUUUUAUAAAACUAAUGGAAUUAGAUAAGAAUAUACUAAUAAAUUUUAAAGGAGUUUUUUUAAUACUAAAGAACAAAAUAAAUGUUUCAUUGGUAAGAAAAAUCUCAAAUCAUUGAGAACUAUGCAUAGAAAGGGUAAAGAGGAAAACAGAACCUAUCGAAACUCAUAAUUCACAGCGAUUUGUCACUCCACUAAUGAAAGUUCAUGAAUAAUCUUAAAUUUUCAUUUGAAUAAGGCAAUAUUGGUUCAAAGCUAGCAAGGGAAAAUACUAAAGAUUGAAGCAGAAAUGAAAUAAGAUGAAGAUUACAAAGCAAGC